UACGUAGGGGGCAAGCGUUGUCCGGAUUUAUUGGGCGUAAAGAGCGUGUAGGCGGCUAGGUAGGUCCGUUGUGAAAACUCGAGGCUCAACCUCGAGACGCCGAUGGAAACCAUUUGGCUAGAGUCCGGAAGAGGAGAGUGGAAUUCCUGGUGUAGCGGUGAAAUGCGCAGAUAUCAGGAGGAACACCGGUGGCGAAGGCGGGUCUCUGGGCCGUAACUGACGCUGAGGAGCGAAAGCGUGGGGAGCGAACAGG
rnacentral:rRNA from 1 species